rnacentral:rRNA from 1 species
GUGAACGCUGGCGGUAGGCCUAACACAUGCAAGUCGAACGGCAGCACAGUAAGAGCUUGCUCUUACGGGUGGCGAGUGGCGGACGGGUGAGGAAUACAUCGGAAUCUACUUUUUCGUGGGGGAUAACGUAGGGAAACUUACGCUAAUACCGCAUACGACCUACGGGUGAAAGCAGGGGAUCUUCGGACCUUGCGCGAUUGAAUGAGCCGAUGUCGGAUUAGCUAGUUGGCGGGGUAAAGGCCCACCAAGGCGACGAUCCGUAGCUGGUCUGAGAGGAUGAUCCGCCCCACUGGAAAUGAGACAGGGUCCAGCCCACUAGGGGAGGCAGAAGGGGGGAAUUUUGGACAAGGGGGGCAAGCCUGACCCAGCCAUACCGGGGGGGGAAAGAAGGCCUUUGGGUUGAAAAGCCCUUUUGUGGGGAAAAAAAAGCAGCAGGUUAAUACCCCGCUGUUCUGACGGUACCAAAAGAAUAAGCACCGGCUAACUUCGU